AUUCUAAUUCCCUGGAGGGGUGAUAGGCAAAGAAAACUGGAGCCUGAGCUGUAUCCAAGGGUUGAGUCAACAACAUUUAUCAAGGAGGAAAAAGGCAGUAAUACUUCUCAAAGAAAGAUUUUUCCUGAGGCCAAGGGACAACAUAAAUGGAAAUCCACUAAGUAUAGGUUUUGCAGGUUGGAUUAUUUUGUCUCCAUUCCCUAUGCAUUCCAAUUGUAGAAUGUUGACACUUGUUUGAAUGCACAAGUCAACUGGCACAUAACCCAUUUGUAGGCUCAUCCCCAAACACAAGGACCUAACUGGGAGUUAAAGCAUAGUGAUAAAAGGAUAACAGCAAUCUAUCAAGAAGCAUUUUCUCUGGGUCAGGCGCUGUACUAAAUGUCAUGGAUGAAAAAGCAAAAAGAGUUCCUACCUUCAAGGAGUUUGCUUACAGUCUAAUGCAAAGACACCAAGAAUCAAAAGGAAAUGGGACAGCUAGGACCAUACAAAAAGUCUUGGAAUUGGAAGCAGAAGAGCUAAAUUCAAAGAUAAGUCCUUCUACAAUCUAAAUACUAUAAUUUUUUGAAGAAUAUAAUAAAAAAGCCUUGGAAUCAUAAAGUAUAAAAGUC
rnacentral:lncRNA from 1 species